rnacentral:antisense_RNA from 1 species
CGUUUGCAGGAAAGAGAGAACGGGAGUGGAGCAGCAGCCACCAGGGAGGGAAGAGGUGGCAAAGUGCUCCGUGGCUGGGGUGCCUAUCUUGGCAGAGUGGAGCAGAUGAAAGGCCCAUCUGCCGACAAGACCACUGCCACCCUCCGCCACCCUCCACCACCCUCCCUCCGCCACCCUCCACCACCCUCCGCCAGGGCACCAGAAUGCCAGGCCUCACUCAUGAUCAGCUGAGCACCAGCAGGCAGGUGAGAAGAGCCUCGAGUGUGGAGCAGGUCAACCAGCAACAGAGCCAAGGAGACCCAUGGAGUCCAGAGAGAACGGUAACAACGGCAGCAGCACCCAGAGACUGGCUCCCAGUGAGCUAAGCCCAGCCGCGACCCUUGGAUGUGCCAGCUGAUUUAAUACUCUUGAUAAACCCAGUAGACAGAUGUGCAUAUAUCACUUCAAAAAAACAAAACUGGAUGUGGCUGAUGCCAAAGUGACCUGCCCCAGAAGAGCUGCUAACAGAACAGCAUCCCAGGAGGCUGCAGAAGGGCUGAAGAGCAGAGCCCACACCUGCUAUGGGCCAC